AUGUUAAAAUGUAUUAUGUUAAAAUUAUUUGCAAAACAUUUGGUUUAGAUAGAAAAGACCAAGUGAAAAUGAUACUGGAAAGGCUGUUUACCGUGUGACUCCUGCCAUAUCUAACCUAGUGGGUUCAAAAAGAAAGGACCGCGCUGGAAACAUGAGGGGAUAACCUGCUCGUAUGAAUGGAUUUCUCGACGUGAAAUAGUUACUUUUAUUUAACAAAGCCAAGAAAUAGAGCGCGCUCAAGAAACAGAAAAGAAAGAGAAAGAUGAAAAUAUAUUCUGUUGAACAAUA